rnacentral:rRNA from 1 species
CCUACGGGUGGCUGCAGUAGGGAAUCUUGCGCAAUGGGCGAAAGCCUGACGCAGCCAUGCCGCGUGAAUGAUGAAGGUCUUAGGAUUGUAAAAUUCUUUCACCGGGGACGAUAAUGACGGUACCCGGAGAAGAAGCCCCGGCUAACUUCGUGCCAGCAGCCGCGGUAAUACGAAGGGGGCUAGCGUUGCUCGGAAUUACUGGGCGUAAAGGGAGCGUAGGCGGAUAGUUUAGUCAGAGGUGAAAGCCCAGGGCUCAACCUUGGAAUUGCCUUUGAUACUGGCUAUCUUGAGUAUGGAAGAGGUAUGUGGAACUCCGAGUGUAGAGGUGAAAUUCGUAGAUAUUCGGAAGAACACCAGUGGCGAAGGCGACAUACUGGUCCAUUACUGACGCUGAGGCUCGAAAGCGUGGGGAGCAAACAGGAUUAGAUACCCGGGUAGUC